UUUUAUGGAGAGUUUGAUCCUGGCUCAGGAUGAACGCUGGCGGCGUGCCUAAUACAUGCAAGUCGAGCGAACGGACGAGAAGCUUGCUUCUCUGAUGUUAGCGGCGGACGGGUGAGUAACACGUGGAUAACCUACCUAUAAGACUGGGAUAACUUCGGGAAACCGGAGCUAAUAC
rnacentral:rRNA from 1 species